UACGAAGGGGGCUAGCGUUGUUCGGAAUUACUGGGCGUAAAGCGCGCGCAGGCGGCUAUCCAAGUCAGUGGUGAAAGCCCGGAGCUCAACUCCGGAACUGCCAUUGAAACUGUUUAGCUUGAGGACGAGAGAGGUGAGUGGAAUUCCGAGUGUAGAGGUGAAAUUCGUAGAUAUUCGGAGGAACACCAGUGGCGAAGGCGGCUCACUGGCUCGGUACUGACGCUGAGGUGCGAAAGCGCGGGGAGCAAACAGG
rnacentral:rRNA from 1 species